AGCUGUUAUUCAAAAACUCAAGUUUCCCACCUCGUUGACUUUCACUGGUAGUCAACUAAUAUCAAUUAAAUACGUAAUAUAUUCAAUGGUUUGACGAAAUGGUUAUUUGUAGACUGGAAAUUUGUACGAAUUCACGCGAAAUUUAAAGAUUUAAAAGUAUACAAAAUGCAUAUAAUAGUUCUAUAAUAUAUGUAUAACAGUUCCUCUAUAAAUUCUGUUUCUAACUCUAAUUCAGUUUAGUUACAGAAAUAGGAUCUAAAUGGAGAUCUGUGUCACCCAUUAAAUAUUAUUGGUGCUUUUAUUUUGCCAUAUUAAAUGCAUCCUGCAGACUUUUCCAUUUUUCCAUUUCUCAUAAAGAAAUGAUCUUCCUGAACGAUCCUCAGGAUCGUGCAGUCGAUCUCCGCAAGAAUGAAAAGAAGUAUCGCCAGCCCACCGCGAAGAUUCAUUUCCAAUAACAUCACAAUGAUAUUAAAAAGACAGGCAUAAUCGAAGAAAAUAAAAUAAACGAAUAAAAGGUACUUUAACAAAGA